UGGGGAAUCUUCCGCAAUGGACGAAAGUCUGACGGAGCAACGCCGCGUGAGUGAAGAAGGUUUUCGGAUCGUAAAACUCUGUCUUUUGGGGGCGAACGUGAGUAUGGUGAACAAUCAUAGUCAGUGACGGUACCAAAGGAGGAAGCCACGGCUAACUACGUGCCAGCAGCCGCGGUAAUCGUAGGUGGCAAGCGUUGUCCGGAAUUAUUGGGCGUAAAGAGCGCGUAGGCGGGAUAGUCAGUCUGUUGUAAAGUGCGGGGCUCAACCCCGUGAUCGCAAUGGAAACAGCUAUUCUUGAGUGCAGGAGAGGAAAGUGGAAUUCCCAGUGUAGCGGUGAAAUGCGUAGAUAUUGGGAGGAACACCAGUGGCGAAGGCGACUUUCUGGACUGUGUCUGACGCUGAGGCGCGAAAGCCAGGGGAGCGAACGGGAUUAGAUACCCCGGUAGUCCUGGCCGUAAACGAUGGGUACUAGGUGUGGGAGGUAUCGACCCCUUGCCGUGCCGGAGUUAACGCAAUAAGUACCCC
rnacentral:rRNA from 1 species